UAAGGAAUAUUGGUCAAUGGACGCAAGUCUGAACCAGCCAUGCCGCGUGAAGGAUGAAGGUCCUAUGGAUUGUAAACUUCUUUUAUUAGGGAAGAAAAAAUGUGAUGCGUCAUAUACUGACGGUACCUAAUGAAUAAGCAUCGGCUAACUUCGUGCCAGCAGCCGCGGUAAUACGGAGGAUGCAAGCGUUGUCCGGAUUCACUGGGUUUAAAGGGUGCGUAGGCGGACAAGUAAGUCAGUGGUGAAAUCCCGCAGCUCAACUCCGGAACUGCCAUUGAAACUAUUUUUCUUGAAUAUAGUGGAGGCAAGACGGAAUAUNUCAUGUAGCGGUGAAAUGCUUAGAUAUGUCAUAGAACACCCAUUGCGAAGGCAGUUUGCUAAACUAUUAUUGACGCUGAGGCACGAAAGCGUGGGGAUCNAACAGGAUUAGAUACCCUGGUAGUCCACGCCCUAAACGAUGAUUACUCGACGUACGCGAUAUCACUUCAGUGUCUAGCGAAAGCAUAA
rnacentral:rRNA from 1 species